rnacentral:tRNA from 1 species
GGAUGUGUGCCCGAAUGCCUAAGGACUACUUUGAUAGAGUACAAUAUAGAGGUUAAAAUCCUCUCACCUCCU